rnacentral:rRNA from 1 species
AUGGAGAUUGCUAUGAUUCGAGCCAAUGUCACGGAGGAUGAUGAGCAAACAAUGGCACGAUUCUUGAAUGGACUCAAUCAUCCCAUCAAGAAGAUCGCCGACUUCCAACCCUACUCCAACCUCAUUGAGCUCGUGCAUCAAGCUACAAAGGCGGAACGCCAAGUGCAAGAUGACUUCAAGUACGCCAAGUACUCCUCCAAGACAUACGGCUUCUCCAACAACCAAGCUUCAACAACUACUCCAACUUCGACAUCAACCAAGCCUUCUCCAAGCAACGACGACAAGUCAAGUUACAAGAAAACUUCCACAAGUUCAAGUCGUCUUCCUCCUACUACAAGCAACUUCAAGCCGCGUGCUUCGUCAUCUACUCCGACCGAUGAGACCGUCAAGACAAGCUCCUUCAAGUGUUUCACUUGCGGAGGCCGAGGCCACAAGUCCUAUGAAUGCACAAACAAGCGCACCAUGAUCCUCAACGACGAUGGCACCUACGACUCAAUGAGUGAAGAUGAAAUGAAAGCUAUUGAGCAAGUAGCCAUGCAUAGGCGAGUGAAUGAGGAUGAAGAUGAUCAAGUCUUUUGUGAUGAAGAUACGAGCCCCGCUCUCGUUGUCUCCAAGGUCUUGACUCUUCAACAUCAACAAGAAGAAGACCAACGAUGCCACAUCUUCCACACAAAGGCCGGCAUCAAUGGACGAUCCGUCAAGGUCAUCAUCGAUGGAGGUAGUUGCCACAACUUGGCAAGUGAAGAACUAUGCUCCAAGCUUCAAUUGGUCAAGAAGAAGCACCCGCACCCCUACAAGGUUCAAUGGCUAAGUGACUCCGGCACUAUACGAGUUGAGCAUACGGUCCAAGUAUCCUUCAAAAUUGGUGCAUAUGAGGACACUUUGGAGUGUGAUGUGGUCCCAAUGACCGUUUGCCACCUCCUUCUUGGUCGACCAUGGCAAUUCGACUGUGGUGUCUUCCACAACGGGCGUACCAACCACUAUAGCUUCAAGAUAAAAGGAAAGGAAUAUGUGCUACGACCCAUGUCUCCUAGUCAAGUGAUAGCCGACAAGCAAGCCACCCACCAUAGAGAGAAGAGUGAGAAAGUGAUCCACCAAAAAGUGAGUGAGAGCCACAAGCCAAACUUGAGCGCCUCUUCGCCUAGAGAGAAAAACCUCAUACUAUUUGCCACAAAAAGUGAGAUGAGAGAAGUGUGUGAGAACCCAUCGAGUGUGAGGCACUUUGUCCUUGUGUGCAAGGAUGGAGAAACAAAAACUAACACCAUUCACGAGCUACCUUUGGUGUUUCAAUCUCUUUUGCAGGAAUUUCAAGAUGUUUUCCCCGAUGAGCUACCUCCGGGUCUACCUCCUCUUCGAGGCAUUGAGCAUCGAAUCGACCUCAUCCCCGGAGCGCCACUUCCAAACAAAGCUCCAUACCGUGUCAAUCCCGAAGAAACCAAGGAGAUUCAACGGCAAGUACAACAACUAAUCGACAACGGUCAUGUACGUGAAAGCUUAAGCCCUUGUGCCAUUCCCGUCAUACUUGUGCCUAAGCCCGAUGGAAGUUUCCGCUUGUGUUCCGAUUGUAGACCUAUAAAUGCUAUCACCGUUCGCUAUAGGCAUCCCAUUCCUCGCUUAGAUGAUAUGCUUGAUGAACUUAGUGGAGCCAACUUUUUCUCAAAAAUUGAUCUUAAGAGUGGCUAUUAUCAAAUACGCAUUCACGAGGGUGACGAAUGGAAAACGGCUUUCAAAACAAAAUUUGGCUUAUAUGAAUGGUUAGUCAUGCCUAUGGGUUUAUCGGAGGCUCCCGACACUUUUGUGCGUCUCAUGCAUCAUGUACUUCGACCUUACAUUGGAGUCUUUGUUGUGGUUUACUUCGAUGAUAUUCUUGUGUUUAGCAAAACCAUGAAAGAGCAUCUUGAUCAUGUUAAGCUUGUUUUGCAAACGCUUCGCAAGGAAAGUCUUUAUGCUAACAUGAAAAAGUGCACAUUUGGUGUUGACAAAGUGGUUUUCUUGGGUUUCGUUGUUUCCUCCAAGGGUGUCCAUGUUGAUGAAACUAAAAUUGAAGCAAUUAAAACUUGCCCCCAACCCACCAAUUUGCAACAAGUGCGUAGUUUUCUUGGUCUUGCAGGUUUUUAUCGCCGCUUUGUGAAAGAUUUUAGCACAAUAGCCGCUCCUUUGCAUGCUUUGAGUAAGAAAAACGCUCCUUUUGUUUGGGGAACUUUGCAAUCAACCGCUUUUGAUGAGCUCAAGUCUUUGCUUACUCAUGCUCCGAUUCUUGCUUUGCCCAACUUUGACAAAACUUUUGAGGUUCAUUGUGAUGCAAGUGGUACCGGAAUUGGCGGAGUUUUGAUGCAAGAAAAACGUGUAAUUGCAUAUUUUAAUGAAAAACUCUCCGGUGCUCAACUUAACUAUCCCAUCUAUGACAAAGAAUUGUAUGCUUUAGUGCGUGUCCUACAUGUUUGGGAACAUUAUCUUAGACCUCAUGAGUUUGUCAUCCAUACCGAUCAUGAAACGCUCAAGUACUUAAAAGGUCAAACUAAGUUGAACAAACGUCAUGCCAAAUGGAGUGAAUUUAUUGAAUCUUUCCCAUAUGUGAUCAAGUACAUUAAGGGUAAGGAAAAUGUAGUUGCCGACGCGCUUUCACGCAUAUGUACACUUGUCACUAAACUUGAGUUGAAUGUUAUUGGUUUUGAGCACAUCAAAGACUUGUAUGCUAAUGAUCCAUCUUUUGCUAUUCCUUAUGCUAAGUGUUUGACGCAUACUUCUUGGGAAUAA